GUACACGCUGUGACUAGCAUAUCAAUAAGCGGAGGAAAAGAAACUAACAAGGAUUCCCUCAGUAACGGCGAGUGAAGCGGGAAGAGCUCAAAUUUGAAAUCUUGAAAGGUCACCUUUCACGAAUUGUAGUUUAAAGAAGUGUUUUCUGUUACGAUCGUAAUAUAAGUUCUUUGGAAUAGGACAUCACAGAGGGUGAGAAUCCCGUCUAUGAUUGCGAUUUGUAGCUUUGUGAUACACUUUCAAAGAGUCGGGUUGUUUGGGAAUGCAGCCCAAAACGGGAGGUAAAUUUCUUCUAAGGCUAAAUAUUGGCGAGAGACCGAUAGCGAACAAGUACCGUGAGGGAAAGAUGAAAAGAACUUUGAAAAGAGAGUUAAACUAGUACGUGAAAUUGUCAAAAGGGAAGCGUUUGACACCAGUGUUGUUUUCUCGAAAAUCAAUUAAAAAUGGCUCGAUUUUGUAUUGCUUGAGACCUUAAAAGCUCACUGUACAUUUUUCGUGUCUUUUUUAAUGCACUUUUCGUUUAACAAGUCAACAUCAGUUUCUUUUGUUGUAAAAGGGUCAUUGGAAGGUGGCUUUCUUUUCGGAGAAAGUGUUUAUAGCCUUUGGCCUCUGCAAUCGAAGAGACUGAGGUCUGCAGCGUAGACUCUUCGGGGUUAGAUACAUUUGUGCUAAGUUAUAGCUUUUUAUAGACAACUUGUUGACUAUAAUUAGUCUUGUAGCUUACUCGCUUAUGCUAUUUUACCUACGCUUAGGAUGUUGAGUAGCGACAUACGCAC
rnacentral:rRNA from 1 species